rnacentral:lncRNA from 1 species
UGAAAUGUCUGCACCGUAUAAUUAGGCUUAAAACCACUCCUCUGCAGGUGUUUAAACAUUAUAGACUCUAUCCUCUUUUUAUAGUUGUUGCACCUAGGACAUUUGCAAAUGCGGCUUUCUCAAAAUCCUUGGUUUUUACAAACCAUUAUUUGGUCAUCUCUUUCUGACUAGUGUGACCGGUGUACAUCCACGCACGAUCACUCAUCUUGCCUAACUGCUACCAAGGAGAUGAAAUAGCACAAAUCCUGUAAAUUUUACCGAGUGAAAAAAAUUAGGACAUCACAUCACAUAAAGCACUCUGAGUUCAAACUAUGAAAAAAAUCAUAUUGCUAAUUACAUCUCCUCUUAUUCUUCUUCUUCUUCUUUCCUUCUCUUCUUCUUCUUCCUCUUCUUCUUCUUCUUCCUCUUUCCUUCUCUUCUUCUUCUUCUUCNNNNNNNNNNNNNNCUUCUUCUUCUUCUUCCUUCUUUUCCUUUUUCCUCUUCUUUCUUCUCCUCUUCCUCCUCCUCUUCGUCUUCUUCUUCUUCUUCCUUCUUCUACUUAUUCUUCUUUUGUUCUUCUUGUUUUUUCUUCUUUCUCUACUUCUUUUAAUUAUGACUAAUUAACUAAAACCUAUCACUAAUCUAGCACUAAACUACAUAUAUAUACCUAAUACUAAAGCGGCUACUGCUUCUGUCGAAAAACCCGUCACGGCGUUUUUCGCAAAAAAAAUCCCCUGAUGUUUUGUGUAUUCAACAUGCACUCCCUUUUUAAGUGAAAAAACGUUUCAUUUUAGAAUUUUUCGUUAGAAACCUUGUAGUUUUUUGUAUUCACCCCGCGUUCAUCCUCCUCUGCCCAAACUGCUGCUGCUUGAUGCCAUGCGAAGCAGCAAGGGAGGCCGACGGGAUCGACUGGCUCGGGGGUUGGGGACGUGGGGCUCCAGCGAC